GCUGUGCAAGCCAGCAGCCAAUCAGGGAAGGGCCUACUGAGAGCCAAUCAGGGCUGAGAUUAGAGCCAGCCAAUCAGGGCUAGGCUAGGCCCUAUAUAAUGGCUGCCCAGGACAGCAGUAGGUAGUCUGUCCCAGAACUUCCUGGGGGAAGGUCUGUCUCCAGAGCAGGAGACAGCACCUCGGGCUGGGUAGUAUUGCACCUGGCCAUCCGAUGGCCGAGAGAAAUUGUAACCGGCCCUUGAGAUAAGGGGUAGACUUUGGGGGUUGCAGUUGGCCACUGAGGCAGGUGCAAGGACUGUUGCUAACCCCCGCCCCUUGGAAUGGGGUGUGGAUGGACUAGUGGGCACUGCUGGAGGGGCAGUGGCCUGAAGGACACUCUCAAGCAGUGAGCAACGUGGGUCCAGAUGCCAACGGAGGACAAGAGACGGAUGGGACGCUGCCAGCAGAGGGCGUUCCCCAUUGACUGAGCUAAUUCCCCGAGCGACCAGCGGGAGGCGCCAUGGUGGUAUGACAAGAAUAGGAGCCUCCUUCCCAGCUGUCUACCAGGCCCUGGGAUCUGGCACAGCCUCCCAGACGGGCACAUCCUGUAGCUGAGCCGCGUCAGGGAGCAGUGGGGACAGGUCACCUCGUCCCAUCCAAGCAAGCAAUGCUGGCUCUCAAAGAGGCUUAGAUGGAAGACCCCAGUCCCUCAUGGAGGAAGGGGCUCUCCAGAGACGUCCUCGAACCUGGACUCCUGAGAGCAUUUCUGGCAGGAGACUCCAGCCCCUGGGGCAUGAAGAGAGCAUCGGGUAGUCUUGAUCACCUGGCAUCUCCGGUCUCUAGCUCCACUUCCCGCAGCAGUGGGGUUUCUCCAGCCCCCUCACCACACCUGUCAGCCUCUGAAUGUCAGAGUCACCAGAACGAGCAAAUUUCAGUUCCA